rnacentral:rRNA from 1 species
AUUGAACGCUGGCGGCAUGCUUUACACAUGCAAGUCGAACGGUAACAGGCCGCAAGGUGCUGACGAGUGGCGAACGGGUGAGUAAUGCAUCGGAACGUGCCCAGUCGUGGGGGAUAACGCAGCGAAAGCUGUGCUAAUACCGCAUACGAUCUAUGGAUGAAAGCGGGGGACCGUAAGGCCUCGCGCGAUUGGAGCGGCCGAUGUCAGAUUAGGUAGUUGGUGGGGUAAAGGCCCACCAAGCCAACGAUCUGUAGCUGGUCUGAGAGGACGACCAGCCACACUGGGACUGAGACACGGCCCAGACUCCUACGGGAGGCAGCAGUGGGGAAUUUUGGACAAUGGGCGCAAGCCUGAUCCAGCAAUGCCGCGUGCAGGAAGAAGGCCUUCGGGUUGUAAACUGCUUUUGUACGGAACGAAACGGUCCGGGUUAAUACCCUGGGCUAAUGACGGUACCGUAAGAAUAAGCACCGGCUAACUACGUGCCAGCAGCCGCGGUAAUAC